rnacentral:rRNA from 1 species
UAAUACGGAGGUGGCAAGCGUUGUUCGGAUUGAUUGGGUGUAAAGGGCAUGUAGGCGUCCUGACAAGUCGAAUGUGAAAUCCCGUAGCUCAACUACGGAACUGCAUUCGAAACUGCUAGGAUUGAGUACAGAAGGGGAGAAUGGAAUUCCCGGUGUAAGGGUGAAAUCUGUAGAUAUCGGGAGGAACACCAGUGGCGAAGGCGGUUCUCUGGUCUGAUACUGACGCUGAAAUGCGAAAGCUAGGGGAGCAAACAGGAUUAGAUACCCUGGUAGUCCUAGCCGUAAACGAUGGGCACUAGGUGUCGGCUCGCAAGGGUCGGUGCCGCAGCUAACGCAUUAAGUGCCCCACCUGGGGAGUACGUCGGCAACGAUG